UCCAUCCAGUGGUAACACUGGUGAAGACCUAGCGGCGAACGGGUGAGUAACACGUGAGAAACCUGCCCCGAAGACCGGGAUAACUCUCCGAAAGGAGAGCUAAUACCGGAUGCCCCCACCAGGCCGCAUGACUUGGUGAGGAAAUGGAUUCCGCUUCGGGAGGGUCUCGCGGCCUAUCAGCUUGUUGGUGAGGUAACGGCUCACCAAGGCUUCGACGGGUAGCUGGUCUGAGAGGAUGAUCAGCCACACUGGGACUGAGACACGGCCCAGACUCCUACGGGAGGCAGCAGUGGGGAAUCUUGCGCAAUGGGCGAAAGCCUGACGCAGCAACGCCGCGUGGGGGAUGAAGGCUCUCGGGUUGUAAACCCCUUUCAGCAGGGAAGAUAAUGACGGUACCUGCAGAAGAAGCCCCGGCCAACUACGUGCCAGCAGCCGCGGUAAUACGUAGGGGGCAAGCGUUGUCCGGAUUUAUUGGGCGUAAAGAGCUUGUAGGCGGCUUGGUAAGUCGAGUGUGAAAACUCCAGGCUCAACCUGGAGACGCCAUUCGAUACUGCCAUGGCUAGAGUCCGGUAGAGGAGCACGGAAUUCCUGGUGUAGCGGUGAAAUGCGCAGAUAUCAGGAGGAACACCAGCAGCGAAGGCGGUGCUCUGGGCCGGUACUGACGCUGAGAAGCGAAAGCGUGGGGAGCGAACAGGAUUAGAUACCCUGGUAGUCCACGCCGUAAACGUUGGGCACUAGGUGUGGGUCCCUAUCGACGGGAUCUGUGCCGUAGCUAACGCAUUAAGUGCCCCGCCUGG
rnacentral:rRNA from 1 species